rnacentral:sRNA from 1 species
CUCGGAAGUCGAGAGACCAGGGCCUGGCCAGACUCUCCCUGCAGAGCCUCUAGACGAUUCCAAGAAUGCCAUGGAGAACUCAGCCUCAGGCCCAGGGGCUGGCAGGACCACAGAAGAUACCGUGGAGGAUGCCUGCCCAGCCGAGGGCAGCAGGGAGGCCAGACCCAACACACACCCCGGCCCAGCCACUACCCCGGCCGAGCUGCCCUGGACCAAUAUUGACCUCAAGGAGCCCAAGAAAGUGCCCAGCCACUCGGCCGCUGGCUUCCCCGAGACCACCAGCCUCUCCUCGCUGGGGCUCUUCCCGCUGGGCUUGGAGGAGCCGUAUGGGGUGGAUGACCACCCGCUGUGGGCCUGGGUGUCGGGAGGCGGCUGCAUGGUGGAGGCAUGUGCCGUGCCCAGGUGGUUCACUGUCCAGGCGGGUAAGGGCUCCUGCAGGGCCUGGGGGCAUCCACAUGGCCAGGUGCCCUGGGGGUGUGGGGUAUGGGAGGAGGCCGGGGUGGGGGGGCUCGGGCAGGCCUGCUGUCCUCCCUGGAUGCCUCACUGUGCUCAGCAGCCCUGAGCCAGACAUUGCGCUCCUCUGUGGCCUCCAGAGACCAGCCUGAGGCUGUCAGGACCUGGAAGCACAGUGGCCAGUGCCCCUUCCCCUGUCUGCAGCCCCUCCCCUGUGCUAGCGGUGGUGGCCGCUUUCUAGGCUGAAUUACUUGGGGAGAGCAACUUGUCCAUCAGGGCGAAGAGUGGAAGGAGGCUUAACAGAGAGCGUAGCUUUUGAGCUAGAAAGGGCUGAUUUGGUGGAGGGGAGUGCCGUGGCUUCCUGCCCAGCUGCGGGCAAGACGGUGCCCCGGCCCUGAGGCUCUGUCUGCCCCACAGGCCUGUCCUCCUCGGUACACAUGCUGUCCCUGUCCAUCACACCGGCCCAGACCGCUGCCUGGAGGAAGCAGAUCUUCCAGCAGCUCACAGAAAGGACCAAGCGGGAGCUGGAGAACUUCAGACACUAUGAGCAGGCCGUGGAGCAGUCGGUGUGGGUGAAGACCGGGGCGCUGCAGUGGUGGUGCGACUGGAAGCCCCACAAGUGGGUGGACGUACGCGUGGCCCUGGAGCAGUUCACGGGGCAUGAUGGCGCCCGGGACAGCAUCCUCUUCAUCUACUACGUGGUCCACGAGGAGAAGAAGUACAUCCAUAUAUUCCUGAAUGAGGUAGUGGCGCUGGUCCCGGUGCUGAACGAGACCAAGCACUCCUUUGCACUGUACACCCCCGAGCGGACACGGCAGAGGUGGCCGGUGCGUCUGGCUGCCGCCACCGAGCAGGACAUGAAUGACUGGCUCGCCCUGCUCAGCCUGUCCUGCUGCGAGAGCCGGAAGGUGCAGGGCCGCCCGUCCCCGCAGGCCAUCUGGUCCAUCACCUGCAAGGGGGACAUCUUCGUGAGCGAGCCCAGCCCGGACCUGGAGGCCCACGAGCACCCUCUGCCCUGCGACCAGAUGUUUUGGCGGCAGAUGGGAGGCCACCUGCGGAUGGUGGAGGCCAACAGCCGGGGCGUGGUGUGGGGCAUCGGCUAUGACCACACGGCCUGGGUGUACACAGGUGGCUAUGGAGGCGGCUGCUUCCAAGGCCUGGCCAGCAGCACCAGUAACAUCUACAUGCAGUCAGAUGUGAAGUGUGUUCACAUCUAUGAGAACCAGCGCUGGAACCCCGUCACAGGCUACACCAGCAGGGGUCUGCCCACGGACCGGUACAUGUGGAGCGAUGCCUCGGGGCUGCAGGAGUGCACGAAGGCUGGCACGAAGCCCCCGUCCCUGCAGUGGGCCUGGGUUUCCGACUGGUUCGUGGAUUUCAGCGUUCCGGGGGGCACGGACCAGGAGGGGUGGCAGUAUGCCAGCGACUUCCCUGCCUCAUACCAUGGGUCCAAAACGAUGAAGGAUUUUGUGAGGAGGAGGUGCUGGGCCAGAAAAUGCAAGCUGGUGACCAGUGGGCCCUGGCUGGAGGUGCCCCCCAUCGCCCUUAGGGACGUGUCCAUCAUCCCGGAGAGCCCGGGUGCCGAGGGGAGCGGGCACAGCAUCGCCCUCUGGGCCGUCAGCGACAAGGGGGAUGUGCUGUGCCGCCUGGGCGUGUCGGAGCUCAACCCUGCGGGCUCCUCCUGGCUGCACGUUGGCACCGACCAGCCCUUCACCUCCAUCUCCAUCGGGGCCUGCUACCAGGUGUGGGCCGUGGCAAGGGACGGCUCCACCUUCUACCGGGGCUCUGUGUACCCCUCGCAGCCAGCCGGUGACUGCUGGUACCACAUCCCGUCCCCGCCGAGACAGAGGCUGAAGCAGGUGUCCGUGGGGCAGACGUCCGUGUACGCCCUGGAUGAGAAUGGAAACCUGUGGUAUCGCCAAGGGAUCACGCCCAGCUACCCGCAGGGCUCCAGCUGGGAGCACGUGUCCAACAACGUGUGCCGGGUGUCCGUGGGGCCCCUGGACCAGGUCUGGGUGAUCGCCGACAAAGUGCAGGGCAGCCACAGCCUGAGCCGGGGGACAGUGUGUCAUCGCACCGGAGUGCAGCCUCACGAGCCCAAGGGCCACGGCUGGGACUACGGCAUCGGGGGAGGCUGGGACCAUAUCUCUGUCCGGGCCAACGCCACCAGGGCCCCCCGGAGCUCGUCCCAGGAGCAGGAGCCGAGUGCCCCACCAGAGGCCCAUGGCCCCGUCUGCUGCUGAGGCCUUCCCCACACACCUACAUGCAGGGACGGUGCCCAGUUUGGGGGAUCAAGGCUGAGCCAUUCUUGUGCUGGAGUGUGCACUGUGGGAGCGAUGUAGCCCAGGCGGACUCAGGAGGGAACCUGGCCCCAAGGCCGCGGCCACUUCAGAGGCACUGGCUGAGACGGCCCUGAAAUGUGAAGCUCCGCGGACACUCCCGCACGUGUCCCCGUCUGCGAGAGUCCCCGGGGUGUGGGGCAUGGGGUGGAGCUGCACUUCCCAGAGGCCCCUCCCACCCUUCCCUUCCCGUCUCCCUCCUGCCUUUCCAGGACUAGAACCCAGAACCUGGAGCCCUCCGGGAACGCCGGCCCUGGGGCAGCAGAGCCCAGGACGGAGCCCUUCUGAGCCGGCAUCUCAGACAGCACCCGGGCCCCACCAACCCUCACCAAGAGAGACGGCCGUGGGGCUCAAGGCCUCUUUACCAUGUGCAGUGACCAUUUCUCAGAGCAGGACUUGCAAAGAGGCUUUAAUUUCAAAAGUGAAGGAAGGCGGCCGGGCGCUGUGGCUCACGCCUGUAAUCCUAGCACUUUGGGAGGCUGAGGUUUUCUCUGGGCAUUACGGUUUGUUCCCCUACAACAGUGACCUGUGCAUUCUGCUCUGGCCUGCUGUGUCUGCAAGUGGCUCUCAGCGAGGUACGGGGAGGGCGUCACCCUGCAGAACGGCAGAGCGACGCGUCCCCUCGCUGCUGAGCCCCAACUGUUUACCUGCCCUGCAUCACUUCCUCGGAUGCUUUACUCAAUAAACAUUUUUCCUGGC